GCAUGAGAUAUUGAACUGUCUUCUUCACCUAAUGUGUCCAUGUAAUGGGUGGUGAGUUGGUUGCUGUGUCAAAGUCCCGUCUUGCCUUGAAGUUAAGUUUCCUCCCCUUCACUGUUCAACCGCCAAGGACCUCUCUUCUACUUCCUUUGCCAUCCCAACCAUCCAGGGUUUAUUUUUGUGAUUCCCAUAAAGAAUGGAAGGUGAAAAACGAAGACGAUGUUUGGCAUGAGAAGAGGUGGUGGGAAAAAGCUGAGAGAGUAUGUAUGCUUAGAAUGCAAGCAGCUGAUGCUUAAAAUGCAAGAACAACCCCAAAACAAUUUCAAAUCGUUAG